rnacentral:rRNA from 1 species
UACAGAGGUCUCAAGCGUUGUUCGGAUUCAUUGGGCGUAAAGGGUGUGUAGGUGGCGCGCUAAGUCGGGUGUGAAAUUUCGGAGCUUAACUCUGAAACUGCAUUCGAUACUGGCGUGCUUGAGGACUGGAGAGGAGACUGGAAUUCAUGGUGUAGCAGUGAAAUGCGUAGAGAUCAUGAGGAAGACCAGUGGCGAAGGCGGGUCUCUGGGCCGACAUUGACGCUGAGGAGCGAAAGCGUGGGGAGCGAACAGG